rnacentral:lncRNA from 1 species
CUGAAUUCCAGUCUCCUACUUCUUGUCCCACCCCCGCCCCCCAUUUUUCCUCUCCCAUGGCUCCCGCCAGACGUGGUUCCCUUAGCUCCCGCAUGCCCCUGUCCCCAAUACCUCCUCACCGCCAGACCCUCCACAGCUCGGCUCAGCUGGCGCCGGCGCCAACUCAAUAUAUAGGCCGGGCCCGGACCGCCCCGCACGCAUGCGCCGCAGACUGACACCUCGGCCGGCGCCUUCCCCUCCCCCACCCGCGCCCGCCCAGCUCGCCCGCGCGCGCCGCGCCCUGCCCUCAGUGCGCGCGGACGGGCUGGCGGGCGGGCGGGCGCCGAGUGGCCGUACGGCUGCCCUCCUGGACCGUGCUCCUCCGCCCCUCUCGGCGCUUCACCUGCGCGCGCCGCGGCUGCACGGCUCAGAGGCUCCUCCCCCAUGCUGGUUGCCCACCACAGGCUCCCGCACGCCUUCCAGUUCGCGCCGGGCCCCCUCACGGUGGCUCUUAGAUCUCGGAGUGUCAGGCUACGGUUCGGCUCCGCGUUUUGGCAGAGGCCUUGGGAGGGCUGGGGUGGGGAACCCCAAGUCUCCUCAGAGGCACGGGGAGCGGGAGCCUAGGGCCCACCCCUCCGGGAGGAGCCGGCCAAUGGCAGGAGAGGACGGCAGCACAACGUGGAGCGGCCGCAGAAUGUAAACACGCCGGAGCGCGCCGCCCGCCACGUGCGGAGCCGGAGCCAUCCGCCGGGCGACGAGCGGGCGGCGGCGCACAGGAAGGUGCCUCAGCGCGGCCGGACGAGAACUGGAAGAUUAAUCACCCUCACUUUUCAGAAAACCCUGCAGGGCUUACAGGCUUGAUAGAGUUCCUGAUGUACUCUCAUCAGCCUACUUGGGAUGACUGUCAACAGCUUUUACAGACCUUGUUCACCACUGAGAAGAGAAAGAGAAUUCUCAAAGCUCAGAAGAAUGUCCGGGAUGAUGCCGACACCCUGUCCAGACCCCGGCCGAGAUAGAUGAAGGAUUCCUCUUGACCCACCCUCAGUGGGAUCAUAACACGGCAUGAGGCUAAGAAGGCACAGUUAUGCCGGACUGAGGUGACCUACCUGGGAUAUACCCUGAAGAAUGGGCAACGAUGGCUCACAGAAGCUAGGAAGUGGACAGUGACACAGAUCUUGACCCCAACCACCCCUCACCAGGUAAGAGAAUUCCUGGGGACUACGGGAUUCUGUAGACUCUGGAUCCCAGGGUUCACUACUUUAGCAGCCCCAUUAUACCCCUUAACAAAAGAAAAACGAAAGUUCAUUUGGGCUAAGGAAUAUCAAUUGGCUUUUGAAACUCUCAAAAAGGCACUGCUACAGGCCCCUGCCCUAGCACUGCCUGAUUUAAACAAGCCUUUCACCCUAUACAUCGAUGAGAGAAAUGGAGUAGCCUGAGGUGGGGUCCUCACUCAAACCCUAGGACCCUGGAAGUGCCUAGUAGCCUAUCUGUCAAAGAAGCUGGACCCUGUGGCCAGCGGAUGACCCUCCUGCCUCUGGGCAAUAGCAGCUACGGCUGUACUGGUGAAAGAUGCUGAUAAACUAACUAUGGGCCAGAAUGUGACUAUGGUGGCCCCGCACUCCCUUGAGAGCAUCAUUCAGCAGCCACCAGACCGCUGGAUGACUAAUGCUGAGAUGACCCACUACCAGAGCUUGUUAUUGACUGAUCAAGUGACUUUCGCUCCACUUGCCACUCUUAAUCCUGCCACCCUACUGCCUGAAGCUGACGAGACCCCCGUACAUCAGUGUGAGGAGAUACUGGCGGAGGAAACUGGGACUCAGCCAGACCUAGCCAAUCGACCUUGGCCUGAAACGGUAGCCUGGCUCACCAAUGGAAGCAGUUUCAUGGUAGAGGUC